CUGAGUAACACGUGGGCAACCUGCCCUUUGCACUGGGAUAGCCUCGGGAAACCGAGGUUAAUACCGGAUACUCCAUAUUUGUCGCAUGGCGAAUAUGGGAAAAGCUCCGGCGGCAAAGGAUGGGCCCGCGGCCUGUUAGCUAGUUGGUGGGGUAGUGGCCUACCAAGGCAAUGAUGGGUAGCCGGGUUGAGAGACCGACCGGCCAGAUUGGGACUGAGACACGGCCCAGACUCCUACGGGAGGCAGCAGCU
rnacentral:rRNA from 1 species